rnacentral:misc_RNA from 1 species
UUAACUAUUAUAUAGUACUCAGACGACACUGACAAACAGAGUUUGGGGUCCUCUGGCGGGCGCAGACCAGCCGAGGCCGGUGGUCCGAAGACGGGCCCGCCAAAGCAACAGAGGUAUGAUAAACAAAGGGUGGGAGGUAUACCCCGAGGGGCAACGUCUCUUUAAUGAUCCUUCCGCAGGUUCACCUACGGAAA